rnacentral:lncRNA from 1 species
UGUGAAAUGAGCCUGUCCUGAAGCUCUCCUAGCCAGGGUGAAGGAUCCACACAGAGUAACCAGACCUUGGGCAGGUGCCUUAGGAGACCCACUAUUAUUUUUUUCACUUUACAGAGGAGGAAAUGAGGAUGAAAGAGAUGUCAACUGACUGGUCCACCAACAUCCAGCUGGUGAAUAGCACCCAGGCCUUGAACACUUCUGACCGGAAGCACUCCUAUCUUCCCCUCUGAACAUUACAGUUUAAAAAUUAAAGAAUGGAUCAACUCAGGCCACAAAGGAGUAGGAUUAUAUAAAGAUGAUGAUGGAGACUGAAAUAAAUUCACUUUUGUCUGAAAUAACGGUCACAAAGAGCAAGGAGUUCAAAAUUCACAUUUUGAUUUAAGUCUCUGGCUAUCAGGGUUAAAAUUAUAGCAUUUAAAAUGCCAGAGUUAAGAGAAAAAAAGGAAAUUGCUGUGUAAAGUUAGCAAAGAAAAGAGGACCAUUAAAACAGCAGGAAUGAAUCAAACCCAGAGAGCAUGAAACAAGAAGACAUCAGCCGGCUCAAACUUACCAGUUAUGACUGUGGGGAGAGGCCAAGCCUCCCGGCUCCCGUUUAACUAUAAAUCGAGACAAAGUGACAGAAAAAGGUUGGGAGUAAAAGACAGAGCAAGGAGUUACCUUAAAAAUACAAGUGAAAAGCGGCCAAGGAC